rnacentral:rRNA from 1 species
GAGCGGCGAACGGGUGAGUAACACGUGAGUAACCUGCCCUGGACUUUGGGAUAACCUUCGGAAACGGAGGCUAAUACCGGAUAUCCACUUUCUAUCGCAUGGUGGUUUGUGGAAAGUUUUUCGGUCUGGGAUGGGCUCGCGGCCUAUCAGCUUGUUGGUGGGGUGAUGGCCUACCAAGGCGACGACGGGUAGCCGGCCUGAGAGGGCGACCGGCCACACUGGGACUGAGACACGGCCCAGACUCCUACGGGAGGCAGCAGUGGGGAAUAUUGCACAAUGGGCGGAAGCCUGAUGCAGCGACGCCGCGUGAGGGAUGACGGCCUUCGGGUUGUAAACCUCUUUCAGCAGGGACGAAGCGAGAGUGACGGUACCUGCAGAAGAAGCGCCGGCCAACUACGUGCCAGCAGCCGCGGUAAGACGUAGGGCGCGAGCGUUGUCCGGAUUUAUUGGGCGUAAAGAGCUCGUAGGCGGCUUGUCGCGUCGGCUGUGAAAUCCCGUGGCUCAACUGCGGGCUUGCAGCCGAUACGGGCAGGCUAGAGUUCGGUAGGGGAGACUGGAAUUCCU